CCCCGGCGCGACGAGUGGUUAUCACGAUUAUUGGGCCUAAAGCGUUCGUAGCCGGUUUGGUAAAUCUCUUGUGAAAUUGUUCGGCUUAACCGGACAGCGUGCAGGAGACACUACCAGACUCGAGACCGGGAGGGGUUAGAAGUAUUCCAUGGGGACUGGUAAAAUGGGAUAAUCCAUGGAAGACUACCGAUGGCGAAGGCAUCUAACCAGAACGGAUCUGACGGUGAGGAACGAAAGCCAGGGGAGCGAACCGG
rnacentral:rRNA from 1 species